UUCUGUAAUAUCUUAAAAAACUCCUAAACCUAGAAAAUCAAUUUUGUUCCUAAAAACCAAAAUCAAUUCAUCUAAUAGCUGAUGGCUUUGUUGAUUAUCAUCAGUUCCUAUGGCCAUUCAUAUGAGUCACAAUAUUUGCUGAAAUGGUAACAGCUACCGGGAUGUUUCUUUAGAAUAUGCUUAUGAAUAUGCUAUCCCAAGGCAGCAACAUCAUGUGGAUUUUGCAAGAAUAUGGGAGGCUUGUGUACCACUGAAGAGGGUCUGGUGGUGUCUCAACCAAUAAGAUUCAAUGGCUCUUGCACACCACUACAGCAAGCCACUAUCAAAAAUAUUCGUCGGGGAAAUGGAUAAUCAGGUUAAAGGGUUUAUGUGCAACUGACUUUCGAGAACUUGUUUUUCUUAAAUUUUUUGGUUUUCUCACAUAUAGGGGGAGGUAACGUUUAUGCAGAUUUCUUAGCUAAAGAAUGGAGCUAAUAGUUCAGCGCCUCCCUGAUAGGAUCCCCCAACUGCGAUACAUGCUGCAAUAUGGGGAGACACUUAUCACUUUCGUUAGCAUUUCAUGGUCGACAAUGACACUUGCAUUACUGGUAACGAAAAUGUUAUUCUUUUUAGGUAUGACAAGAGGAAGGGUGAUCUAAUUUUAAAGCAUGAGUAAGGAGUACCCAUAUAUUUACAAAAAGUCGGGAAACAAAUGAUAUCGUGCUGGAUGGCAACUGGCCCUGUAGUUCGCGAAGAAAGAUGCUUCUUGCAACAACUUGAGUACGAAACGAAGUUCUUGCGGUAAACCAGCAGAGCUUACAGCAAGCUUGGAAGCUUUAAAAGUUCCACUGCGGUAGAAGUUUGGGCUGGCUAAAUCCUGCAACAGAUUGAAUCCCAACAAGUUCAGAAAAUUGGUAUGUUAAAUCAGUCAUAAAUCAGCUCUGCAACUCCAAGAUUAUCUUCAAGUCUACGAUAUAUUAGUCGUCUCCUUUAAUUGUACAAGUUCAAUAAAGCAUUUGCUAUGUCUAUUUCUGAUUUCUUAUAGAGAGUAUGAGUUAUGUGUAUGUAAUCUAUGUUGGAAGAGAGAAUAAUAUUGGUUUGCCAUGUGUUCAUAUGAAAAAAUGGGUAUUCUAAUUGAUCUGCAAUUGUAUAUGGAGGUGCAGAAUACAUAUUCAGGUGCAGAAACCUGCCGGAAUUAUGGUCUGAUUUUUUUUUCACCUGUAAAUAGUUUUCCAACAUAAUUAGUGUAAUACGUGGCCUAAAUUAAUGUAGACGUUGCACAAAUUUAAGAA